GUUGAACGCUGGCGGAAUGCUUUACACAUGCAAGUCGAACGGCAGCACGGGGGCAACCCUGGUGGCGAGUGGCGAACGGGUGAGUAAUACAUCGGAACGUGCCCAGUCGUGGGGGAUAACGUAGCGAAAGCUACGCUAAUACCGCAUACGAUCUACGGAUGAAAGCGGGGGAUCGCAAGACCUCGCGCGAUUGGAGCGGCCGAUGGCAGAUUAGGUAGUUGGUGGGGUAAAGGCUCACCAAGCCUUCGAUCUGUAGCUGGUCUGAGAGGACGACCAGCCACACUGGGACUGAGACACGGCCCAGACUCCUACGGGAGGCAGCAGUGGGGAAUUUUGGACAAUGGGCGAAAGCCUGAUCCAGCCAUUCCGCGUGCAGGAUGAAGGCCCUCGGGUUGUAAACUGCUUUUGUACGGAACGAAACGGCCUUUUCUAAUACAGAGGGCUAAUGACGGUACCGUAAGAAUAAGCACCGGCUAACUACGUG
rnacentral:rRNA from 1 species